UGUGAAUCCUCUGCUUCAGUACCUGCACGAGAUAAAAACCCAUUGUGCUAAGCAUAUAGCUUAGUGGUGCAAAUCUAACUUGAGAUGGCUAAUUAAUAAUCAACUGUAACUAUAAAUGCUGUAAACACUUAACCAAGCUAUUAAGAUAAAUUUAAGCAUGUAACAAUUCACAAUGAUUUUUACAAAUAUAAAUAUAACAUUUCAUCAUUAGCCCUUUACUUGAAUUUCACUAAUCAUGCUCAUGAAAUGUGCAUAUGGCA
rnacentral:misc_RNA from 1 species